GACAGAGGGUGCAAACGUUGUUCGGAAUUACGGGGCGUAAAGCGCGUGUAGGCGGCUAAGUAAGUCGGGCGUGAAAUCCCACGGCUCAACCGUGGAAGUGCACUCGAAACUGCGUAGCUAGAGUCCUGGAGAGGAAGGUGGAAUGCUUGGUGUAGAGGUGAAAUUCGUAGAUAUCAAGCGGAACACCGGUGGCGAAGGCGGCCUUCUGGACAGUGACUGACGCUGAGACGCGAAAGCGUGGGGAGCAAACAGG
rnacentral:rRNA from 1 species